GAGUUUGAUCCUGGCUCAGAACGAACGUUAGCGGUGUGGAUUAGGCAUGCAAGUCGCGCGCGAAAGCCUUCGGGCGAGUAAAGCGGCGAAAGGGUGAGUAACACGUAACCAACGUACCCUCUAGAUCGGGAUAACUGCUGGAAACGGCAGGUAAUACCGAAUGGACUGGUCAGCGGGCAUCCGCUGAUUAGUAAACGGUGGCGUAAGCUGUUGUUAGGGGAGCGGGUUGCGGCCUAUCAGCUUGUUGGCGGGGUAACGGCCCACCAAGGCAUCGACGGGUAGCGGGUCUGAGAGGAUGAUCCGUCACACUGGGACUGAGACACUGCCCAGACUCCUACGGGAGGCUGCAGUCGAGAAUCUUCCGCAAUGGGCGAAAGCCUGACGGAGCGACACCGCGUGCAGGAUGAAGGCCUUAGGGUUGUAAACUGCUGUCACGCCAUAGGAAAGACCACGUGUUAAUAGCGCGUGGGUUGACUAAAGCGAGAGGAAGAGCCGGCUAACUCCGUGCCAGCAGCCGCGGUAAGACGGAGGGCUCGAACGUUGUUCGGAAUCACUGGGCAUAAAGAGCACGUAGGUGGCCUGCUAAGUCGGAUGUGAAAUCCCUCGGCUCAACCGGGGAACUGCAUCCGAUACUGGCAGGCUCGAGGACGGGAAGGGGAAGCUAGGGGAGCGAACGGGAUUAGAUACCCCGGUAGUCCUAGCCGUAAACGAUGGGCACUAGGUAGUGGGAAUACCUAUGUUUCUCACUGCCGUAGCAAAUGUGUUAAGUGCCCCGCCUGGGGAGUACGCUCGCAAGGGUAAAACUCAAAGGAAUUGACGGGGGAUCACACAAGCGGUGGAGCAUGUGGUUCAAUUCGAAGCAACGCGAAGAACCUUACCUGGCCUUGACAUGCAUGGAUUAGCCCUGUGAAAGCAGGGUGACGGCCCUUCGGGGUUGGAACAUGCACAGGUGUUGCAUGGCUGUCGUCAGCUCGUGUCGUGAGAUGUUGGGUUAAGUCCCGUAACGAGCGAAACCCUUGUCGUUAGUCGCCAGCGGGUAAUGCCGGGGACUCUAGCGAGACUGCCGUUGUCAAAACGGAGGAAGGUGGGGACGACGUCAAGUCAUCAUGGCCCUUAUGGCCAGGGCGACACACGUGCUACAAUGGUCUGUACAAAGGGUUCCUAGACCGCAAGGUGGAGGCAAUCCCAUAAAGCAGGCCCCAGUUCGGAUUGCAGGCUGCAAUUCGCCUGCAUGAAGCCGGAAUCGCUAGUAAUCGCGUAUCAGCCAUGACGCGGUGAAUAUGUUCCUGAUCCUUGUACACACCGCCCGUCAAGCCACGGAAGCGGGGAGCGCUCGAAGUCGUUAUGUCCAACCUUCGGGGGGACGGCGCCGAAAGCGAGCUCCGUGACUGGGACUAAGUCGUAACAAGGUAGCCGUAGGGGAACCUGCGGCUGGAUCACCUCCUUUCU
rnacentral:rRNA from 1 species